UGGGGAAUUUUGGACAAUGGGGGAAACCCUGAUCCAGCCAUCCCGCGUGUGCGAUGAAGGCCUUCGGGUUGUAAAGCACUUUUGGCAGGAAAGAAACGUCAUGGGUUAAUACCCCGUGAAACUGACGGUACCUGCAGAAUAAGCACCGGCUAACUACGUGCCAGCAGCCGCGGUAAUACGUAGGGUGCAAGCGUUAAUCGGAAUUACUGGGCGGAAAGCGUGCGCAGGCGGUUCGGAAAGAAAGAUGUGAAAUCCCAGAGCUCAACUUUGGAACUGCAUUUUUAACUACCGGGCUAGAGUGUGUCAGAGGAAGGUGGAAUUCCGCGUGUAGCAGUGAAAUGCGUAAAUAUGCGGAAGAAAACCGAUGGCGAAGGCAGCCUCCUGGGAUAACACUGACGCUCAUGCACGAAAGCGUGGGGAGCAAACAGG
rnacentral:rRNA from 1 species